rnacentral:lncRNA from 1 species
UUACUUUCAGGAUUUAGAAAGAGCUUUGUUUGCCAGUGUGACUGUUUUCCAGGAUCUUUUGUUUUAGGUUAGUGUAUGGCAAACAAAGGGGAAUAGGCAGGUGGAAAGCUUCAGAACUCUUUCUGAACUGAGGGCGCAAUAGAAUAGGCCAAAAACAUUUGGAGAGAAAGCCGUUUUUUUUUUUUUAGUUGCAAUCAAACGCAAACUAAGAAUUCCCAAGCUCCUGUGCUACUUUUCAAUUCUUACAUCAUGUGCAGUAAUCUGCUCUAUCACUUGAGAGUUUUAUCUCCAUUUUUCCCCAGGAACUACAGUUGCUGACUUAAGUUGAAGAAGCAUCUAUUUAAUGUCUGGUCAAAUCCUACAAGAAACACAGAAAUCUAUGAUUAAAAAGCUGAGCACUUUGAUAUACUGCAAAGGGUAGAGAAGGCAGGACGGUAGAAAUUUUCUGCAAGAAAGAAUGAAUUUCAGGAUUUAUCACUAAAUAAGACAAAGUCAUUUAUUUAGUCCCCCUGACACAGCAGGGCAAACUGAGUUGACAUACAAGUUACCUGGAGAAAAAGAGAGGUAAGGCGA